rnacentral:sRNA from 22 species
GCUGUCGCAAAAUCGGCAGCCGGGCGUGGAAACCCGAGUAAUCUAACGGCGACACCUGACGCGCCAUGCGUCUUUUUU